rnacentral:rRNA from 1 species
GCUAAAAAUCUAGCUAAAUAUAAAUAAUUAAUAUAACACCAUAAAAACCUUUACUAAACAAAAAUCACAAAAAUUAAAACAUUCUCCCGCCCUAGUAUGAGUGACAGAAAAGGACCCCAUAAGCCAUAAAAUAGUACCGCAAGGGAAAGAUGAAAAAGAAAAUGAAAUAAAUCAUUAAGCCAAAAAAAGCAGAGAUUAAACCUCGCACCUUUUGCAUCAUGAUUUACCCAGCCACUGUGAGCAAAGAGUACUUUAGUUCACGGCCCCGAAACUAAGUGAGCUACCCCGAGACAGCCUACAAGGGCCAACCCAUCUCUGUGGCAAAAGAGUGGGAAGAUCUCCAGGUAGAGGUGAUAAGCCUACCGAACCUAGUUAUAGCUGGUUGCCUAAAAAAUGAAUAUAAGUUCAGCCUCCCCCCACCCCAACUCACAAAAAGCUAUUGCUGCCAAAGAGUACGAGAAAUGGAGAGAGUUAAUCAGAGGGGGUACAGCCCCUCUGAUUAGGGAUACAACCCUAUCAGGAGGUUAAAGAUUAUAAUAAGUAAGAUUACUGUCCAAGUGGGCCUAAAAGCAGCCAUCCAAACAGAAAGCGUUAAAGCUCAAACAGAAUAAAAUCCAUUAUUACAAUAAUUUAAUCCUAAGCCCCUAAUUAUAUUAGGCCACUCUAUGCGCACAUAGAAGUGAUACUGCUAAAAUGAGUAAUAAGAAGUUAUUAACUUCUCCUGGCCCAAGUGUAUGUUAGAACGGACCAUCCACUAACUAUUAACGAACCCACCCAAAGAGGGCAAUAUGAUCACAAGUAUAACCAAGAAGACCCCAUACACAUUAUCGUUAACCCCACACCGGAAGGCCGAAAGGAAAGACGAAAAGAAAAGGAAGGAACUCGGCAAACACAAGCCUCGCCUGUUUACCAAAAACAUCGCCUCCCGCAAAGAAUACAUAGGAGGUCUUACCUGCCCAGUGAAUAAAUUAAACGGCCGCGGUAUUUUGACCGUGCAAAGGUAGCGCAAUCACUUGUCUUUUAAAUGAAGACCCGUAUGAAUGGUGAAACGAGGGCUUAACUGUCUCCCUUUUCUAGUCAAUGAAAUUGAUCUGCCCGUGCAGAAGCGGGCCUAAUAAUACAAGACGAGAAGACCCUUUGGAGCUUAAGAUAAUAAGACAACUAUGUUAAUGAACAAAAACCCUAAACCAAAUAGUUCUGUCUCAUAUCUUCGGUUGGGGCGACCACGGGAGAAAACAAAGCUCCCAUGCAGACAGGGUAUAACCCAAAGCUAAGAGAGACAUCUCUAAGACACAGAACAUCUGACCAUAUGAUCCGGCCCACCCGCCGAUUAACGAACCAAGUUACCCUAGGGAUAACAGCGCAAUCCCCUUUCAGAGCCCUUAUCGACAAGGGGGUUU